rnacentral:rRNA from 1 species
GAGCAGGGCCUGGUUAGUACCUGGAUGGAAGACCGCCUGGGAAUCCCAGGUGCCGUAAGCU